GUCCAGACUCCUACGGGAGGCAGCAGUGAGGAAUAUUGGUCAAUGGGCGGGAGCCUGAACCAGCCAAGCCGCGUGAAGGAAGAAGGCGCCAGGCGUCGUAAACUUCUUUUGUCGGGGAACAAAGGGCGCCACGCGUGGCGUUGUGAGUGUACCCGAAGAAAAAGCAUCGGCUAACUCCGUGCCAGCAGCCGCGGUAAUACGGAGGAUGCGAGCGUUAUCCGGAUUUAUUGGGUUUAAAGGGUGCGUAGGCGGCCCGAAAGGUAAGGGUAAAAAGCCGGGGCCCCACCCCCGGCGAGCCGUUGAAACUGUCGGACUAGAGACGGCGAGAAGUACGCGGAAUGCGCGGUGUAGCGGUGAAAUGCAUAGAUAUCGCGCAGAACUCCGAUUGCGAAGGCAGCGUACCGGCGCCGGACUGACGCUGAGGCACGAAAGCGUGGGUAUCGAACAGGAUUAGAUACCCUAGUA
rnacentral:rRNA from 1 species